AGCGACAGAGGGUAGUACAAACAGACAACGCCCUCGCCUUUUACUAGGGCGUUCCGUGUACUGCCCUCACUUCAAUGUCGCCAUACCAAUUUUUCAGCAUCUAGCACUUUCAAGUGC
rnacentral:snRNA from 1 species